GAUGAACGCUAGCUACAGGCUUAACACAUGCAAGUCGCGGGGUAACAUCUGGGAGAGCUUGCUCUUCCAGGAUGACGACCGGCGCACGGGUGAGUAACGCGUAUCCAACCUGGCCCAUACCACGGGAUAGCCCGUCGAAAGGCGGAUUAAUACCGUAUGCUGUCAUUAAGAUGCAUAUAUUGAUGACGAAAGGACUGGCGGUAUGGGAUGGGGAUGCGUCUGAUUAGCUUGUUGGCGGGGUAACGGCCCACCAAGGCGACGAUCAGUAGGGGUUCUGAGAGGAAGGUCCCCCACAUUGGAACUGAGACACGGUCCAAACUCCUACGGGAGGCAGCAGUGAGGAAUAUUGGUCAAUGGGCGGAAGCCUGAACCAGCCAAGUAGCGUGCAGGAAGACGGCCCUAUGGGUUGUAAACUGCUUUCAGUCGGGAAUAAUUCGUCGGUCGUGACCGACGUUGCAGGUACCGUCAUAAGAAGGACCGGCUAAUUCCGUGCCAGCAGCCG
rnacentral:rRNA from 1 species